CGCAUGAUAUCGGAUAUUGGCUCACUGAGUUUCAGCAGCGCGGGUAGAGCGACGGAGAUAACAACUUCGAGAAAGAGAGCGAGAGAGUGAAGAAUGGUGAGGAUAACUCCAAUGGCGUCCUUCUUUAUCGUCGUAUAGGUUCGCCGGAUUUCAUCGCACCGGCCUCUCUCUCUCCUUCUUCAACACUACGCCCAAAAUAUUUUGAUUGCACCUUGCAGUGCUGCUCCACAGUCGCAAUACUUUGGUCUGAAAGCUUAAGAUGAGAUCAGGAAUGUU